GGCUUAGAGUUUGAUCAUGGCUCAGGAUAAACGCUGGCGGCGCACAUAAGACAUGCAAGUCGAACGGAAGUCGUUAUAAAAGGAUUGAAGAUUUAUCAGAUUGAAGUUUAUAACAAUGGCUUUAGUGGCGGACUGGUGAGUAACGCGUAAGCAAUCUACCUAUUAGAGGGGAAUAACAAUGAGAAAUCAUUGCUAAUACCGCAUAUGCCAUAGUGAAGGCAUCUUCAUAGUGGGAAAGGAGAAAUCCGCUAAUAGAUGAGCUUGCGUCUGAUUAGUUAGUUGGUGAGGUAAUGGCUUACCAAGACGACGAUCAGUAGCCGGACUGAGAGGUUGAACGGCCACAUUGGGGCUGAGAUACGGCCCAGACUCCUACGGGAGGCAGCAGUCGGGAAUAUUGCGCAAUGGAGGAAACUCUGACGCAGUGGCGCCGCGUAUAGGAAGAAGGUUUUCGGAUUGUAAGCUCUAUCAGCAGGGAAGAAGAAUGACGGUACCUGACUAAGAAGCUCCGGCUAAAUACGUGCCAGCAGCCGCGGUAAUACGUAUGGAGCAAGCGUUAUCCGGAUUUACUGGGUGUAAAGGGAGCGUAGGCGGUGCUAUAAGUCUGAUGUGAAAGCCCGGGGCUCAACCGCGGGACUGCAUUGGAAACUGUAGGACUGGAGUGUCGGAGGGGUAAGUG
rnacentral:rRNA from 1 species